ACGGAAGGCAGCAGUAGGGAAUCUUCCACAAUGGACGAAAGUCUGAUGGAGCAAUGCCGCGUGAGUGAAGAAGGUUUUCGGAUCGUAAAACUCUGUUGUGAGGGAAGAACAAGUAUGAGAGUAACUGCUCGUACCUUGACGGUACCUCAUUAGAAAGCCACGGCUAACUACGUGCCAGCAGCCGCGGUAAUACGUAGGUGGCAAGCGUUGUCCGGAAUUAUUGGGCGUAAAGCGCGCGCAGGCGGUCCUUUAAGUCUGAUGUGAAAUCCCACGGCUCAACCGUGGAAGGUCAUUGGAAACUGGGGGACUUGAGUACAGAAGAGGAAAGCGGAAUUCCAAGUGUAGCGGUGAAAUGCGUAGAGAUUUGGAGGAACACCAGUGGCGAAGGCGGCUUUCUGGUCUGUAACUGACGCUGAGGCGCGAAAGCGUGGGGAGCAAACAGGAUUAGAUACCCUGGUA
rnacentral:rRNA from 1 species